rnacentral:rRNA from 1 species
UCCUUGAGAGUCCUGAAGGAACGUUAAAGACUAUGACGUUGAUAGGCCGGGUGUGUAAGCGCAGCGAUGCGUUGAGCUAACCGGUACUAAUGAACCGUGAGGCUUAACCUU